AAAAUAUAAAGUCGGAAGCUCCGACCAAAAUUAGUCGUAAAAUUUCUACUACAAGUUGCAUGCGGUCAUUACAUAUUUUUCGUGUCAUUAUUUAAAAUUCAUUCGGUACAGUCUUCUUCCAAUUCUCCGUUCCUUAUCGGCCUUAUAUAUUCACAGACCGAUUAUUCUUAGGAUGUUCUUGGCUAGCCAAACCAUUUCUAAGAUCAGGCCGCAUGCGUCGCGGCGCCUCGCCAAUGCGUCUCAACUGGCGUCUAACGCUAACUCAAGCGACUGUAUCCCUCCAAUAACGUUUCGAACCGCGAACGCUGCUGUUUGGCUUGAUAGUGCCGCGCCAUACUGUUAUCCAGAUAAACGCAAGAAUAAAGAUAAGGAUUAAAGAAAAAAUAAUCCAGAAAAAGGGAAGAAAGUGAAAAGUUCGCGCUCGGUUCGCUGUCGACUGUAUCGCGAAAACGCGAAUAUCGCGCGUUUCCUCCAACCAUACAUAGGCACUACAAUUAACGAAAUAGAAUCGUGCGCAGCAUAUGAUCGCAACCAGUAAGUUGUGCGAUCGAUGGAGCUAUCGCAGAUUAUACGAGAUCGCGUGAGAACAGAUAAUCGUUUCGCACCUAAACUCAUAGCGCUGGAAAUAGAUCACUGCGUGCAAAUGUUAAUAACGAGCAAUUUUCAUUACUGCGCGCGGUCACGUGAAUGAAUUCACAAAAUGAAAAUAUAGAAAUAGGGAUGACACAUUAAACACCUCGUACGAAAAAACUUACUUUCAACGAUAAAUUAAAAAAUAUAUUAGGUGUUGGAAUUAAUUCGUAGCGUUUUACAAGUGAU